rnacentral:rRNA from 2 species
CGCCCUUUUCCGGUUGAUCCUGCCGGACCCGACUGCUAUCGGAUUGAGAUUUAGCCAUGCGAGUUGAACGUCCCUUGAUUGCAGGGGGCGUAGUAUACGGCUCAGUAACACGUAGUCAACCUGCCCUGGAGACGCGGAUAACCCCGGGAAACUGGGACCAAUCCGUGAUAGGUCACCCCAUCUGGAAGGAGGGGCGGCCCAAAGGGGGAUUGUGGGCUUCCACUUUCCUCGCUCUAGGAUGGGACUGCGGCCGAUCAGGCUGUUGGCGGGGUAAUGGCCCACCAAACCUGUAACCGGUACGGGCCUUGAGAGAGGUGGCCCGGAGAUGGACACUGAGACAAGGGUCCAGGUCCUACGGGGCGCAGCAGGCGCGAAACCUUCGCAAUGUGCGAAAGCAUGACGAGGUUAAUCCGAGUGGCUUCCGCUGAGGAAGUCUUUUGCCGACUGUAAAAAGGUCGGAGAAUAAGGGGAGGGCAAGUCUGGUGUCAGCCGCCGCGGUAAUACCAGCUCCUCGAGUGGUCGGGGCGAUUAUUGGGCCUAAAGCAUCCGUAGCCGGUUCCGUAGGUCUCCUGCAAAAUCCAGUCGCUCAACGAUUGGCCCGCAGGAGAUACCGCGGGACUAGGAGGCGGGAGAGGUGGACGGUACUCCACGCGUAGGGGUAAAAUCCUUUGAUCCGUGGAAGACCACCAGUGGCGAAGGCGGUCCACCAGAACGCGCUCGACGGUGAGGGAUGAAAGCUGGGGGAGCGAACCGGAUUAGAUACCCGGGUAGUCCCAGCCGUAAACGAUGCUAGCUAGAUGAUCCGAUCGUAAAUCAUGAUCGGAGUGUCGCAGGGAAGCCGUUAAGCUAGCCGCCUGGGGAGUACGGUCGCAAGACUGAAACUUAAAGGAAUUGGCGGGGGAGCACCACAAGGGGUGAAGCCUGCGGUUCAAUUGGAGUCGACGCCAGGAAACUUACCAGGAGAGACAGCAGAUUGAGGGUCAGACUGAAGAUCUUACCUGACGAGCUGAGAGGAGGUGCAUGGCCGUCGCCAGCUCGUGCCGUGAGGCGUCCUGUUAAGUCAGGCAACGAGCGAGACCCAAAGGGCGAA